rnacentral:tRNA from 1 species
GUCUGGAUAGCUCGGUAAUCUAGAGCAAUUGCCCGGAAAGCUAAAAACUCGGGAUCGAUUCCCGAUCCAGCCA